rnacentral:rRNA from 11 species
GAAGGUUGAUAUAUGUUCCUCGUCCAUUAUCAGGGAUCCGCUCUGUAGGAAGGUAAGCAGGCUAGAGGAGCGCAACCGAGUACAGUUACUUCGUAGUAGAUUUGAGGAUACCCUCAGAAGUUUGGUUCUGUGUUCGGCUAAGGGAUCCUGAUAACUGUUGAAGCAUGAGGGAAAAGUUGAUGAGGGAGUAACACCUAGUGACUCAUCCGAAUCGCAGGCAUACGUUGGGGGUGAAUGCAUUGAGUUCGUAGUUGAGUCAUCGGUGGUAUGUAAUUCGGAAGUGUAUUGUAGUCUAAUUGGAGAUGAUAGCGGCGGCAAGACUAUACGGAGUUCAGGGAGCGGAUGUGUCGAUGCGUCAGGGGAUGUGGCAUCAUACACUUCGGGUUGGUCGUCGAGGUCUACCGGAGAAACAUAUAGAGCCUCGGUAUUAGGGAUGUCCGUGAUUGUGUGAUUAUUGGAAGGGGUAUUAGUCGGUGUGGGUGAUCUCGACCACUGUAGGUGGAGUCGGCGUUUGACGGCCUCUGCCGUUCUGCGUGUUAAUACAGUGCUGAUGUGUUGGCAUAGGUCAUUCUUCGUGGGGAACCUAUGAGCUUCCCGGUUAGCGAUUGAUAGUAGUAAAAUUCGCUAUCUCGGACUUUUCUAUAGGAUUUUGCCGUCCGCACCUUUCUAUGGGAAUUUUUGGGUCACACUUUUCUUUAUAACUUUUGAACGGAUUAAUAUUUUUCAAUGGGAUUUUCUUUGUAGUGCUUAUCUAAUUAAGAGUUAUUAAAUGAUGUAUAACAUGUACAUGUGCUUAGAAAUUAAAAUUUUGCUCUUUACAGUUGCUCUUACUGGCUAUGUAUUAUAGGGAUACUACCCCUAACUCAGGGUCUGGAAAGUCGGAAAAAUGAAAAUUUCGCAAAUGCGAUAAAAAUGAUCUUGGUGGUCUUGUAUCACUAUUCCGACACCAGACAAUGGGUUUUAAGCGUUCUUAGGCCCUAAUGCUUCAGGCUGGGCUGUUUCGCUUACUACCCUAUAUGUGUGUGGUAUACAGUAUAAGCUAUAUGGCCAUGUAGAGCUGAAGGUCUCACAUGAGACUGGAGGUUCGCCAUUGAUAUUGUGGAUGGUUCGGCAUUGCUUUGGCAAGUUUUGCUGGCUGUCCAUGUGAAAAGUUGGUUGGCAGGUUAACCGAUUUCAUUCAUACUGGUGGUUGCUUCUCAGUGUUCUCAAGGGCCUAGGUCAUUGGAGCAUUGUAAGGCAUAUCGCCAUUGCCAAUAUUAAUGAGUUUGGCUGUCGUGUAAGCGGAAUGGGUCAACUUUGGCCUGUUCGUGCUGUGCAUAAUUGAUUUACGCGAUCACUGUUCGGAAUAUUUAUACACGGGAUGUAAAUGUGUAUAUGAACGGUGCGAAUGGUCCACCAGGGUGUUUGGUACCUGAGUGGUUGCGCCACAGGAUUGGACCGAGCUGUUCGGAUUGUAACGUUGAAGCCUUUAUAGUGUCUGGUUCUCGGGCGCGGCUUCUAUUGCUUCUUUAUGGAGUAGUGUGGUCAUGAUCCGGCGGGUGCGGUGCCAGUUUUUACUUCUUAGAGGGACAAGCGGCACACUUAAGUCGCACGAAAUUGAGCAAUAACAGGUCUAUGAUGCCCUUAGAUGUCCGGGGCCACACGUGCGCUACAAUGACGGUGCCAGCGAGUCUGGAAACCUGGCCCGAAAGGGUUGGGCAAACUGUUUCAUCACCGUCGUGACUGGGAUCGGGGCUUGCAAUUAUUCCCCGUGAACGAGGAAUUCCUGGUAAGUGCAAGUCAUAAGCUUGCGCUGAUUACGUCCCUGCCCUUUGUACAUACCGCCCGUCGCUACUACCGAUUGAAUGGUUUAGUGAGGUCGUUGGAUUGGCGUCGUUGUAGUGGCUUUGCCGCUCGACUGAUGCUGAGAAGAUGACCUAAUUUGACUAUUUAGAGGAAGUAAAAGUCGUAACAAGGUUUCCGUAGGUG